rnacentral:rRNA from 1 species
CUUUCCCUCUUUCUUCAGGCCUAACACAUGCAAGUCGAACGGUAACAGGAAGCAGCUUGCUGCUUCGCUGACGAGUGGCGGACGGGUGAGUAAUGUCUGGGAAACUGCCUGAUGGAGGGGGAUAACUACUGGAAACGGUAGCUAAUACCGCAUAACGUCGCAAGACCAAAGAGGGGGACCUUAGGGCCUCUUGCCAUCGGAUGUGCCCAGAUGGGAUUAGCUAGUAGGUGGGGUAACGGCUCACCUAGGCGACGAUCCCUAGCUGGUCUGAGAGGAUGACCAGCCACACUGGAACUGAGACACGGUCCAGACUCCUACGGGAGGCAGCAGUGGGGAAUAUUGCACAAUGGGCGCAAGCCUGAUGCAGCCAUGCCGCGUGUAUGAAGAAGGCCUUCGGGUUGUAAAGUACUUUCAGCGGGGAGGAAGGGAGUAAAGUUAAUACCUUUGCUCAUUGACGUUACCCGCAGAAGAAGCACCGGCUAACUCCGUG